rnacentral:rRNA from 1 species
CGGAUCGUAAAACUCUGUUGGUAGAGAAGAACGUUGGUGAGAGUGGAAAGCUCAUCAAGNNACGGNAACUACCCAGAAAGGGACGGCUAACUACGUGCCAGCAGCCGCGGUNAUACGUAGGUCCCGAGCGUUGUCCGGAUUUAUUGGGCGUAAAGCGAGCGCAGGUGGUUUAUNNAGUCUGGUGUAAAAGGCAGUGGCUCAACCAUUGUAUGCAUUGGAAACUGGUAGACUUGAGUGCAGGAGAGGAGAGUGGAAUUCCAUGUGUAGCGGUGAAAUGCGUAGAUAUAUGGAGGAACACCGGUGGCGAAAGCGGCUCUCUGGCCUGUAACUGNCACUNAGGCUCGAAAGCGUGGGGAGCAAACAGGAUUAGAUACCC